AGGAGGCAGCAGUGGGGAAUAUUGGACAAUGGGCGCAAGCCUGAUCCAGCCAUGCCGCGUGCAGGAUGACGGUCCUAUGGAUUGUAAACUGCUUUUGUACAGGAAGAAACACUCCGACGUGUCGGAGCUUGACGGUACUGUAAGAAUAAGGAUCGGCUAACUCCGUGCCAGCAGCCGCGGUAAUACGGAGGAUCCAAGCGUUAUCCGGAAUCAUUGGGUUUAAAGGGUCCGUAGGCGGUUUAGUAAGUCAGUGGUGAAAGCCCAUCGCUCAACGGUGGAACGGCCAUUGAUACUGCUAAACUUGAAUUAUUAGGAAGUAACUAGAAUAUGUAGUGUAGCGGUGAAAUGCUUAGAGAUUACAUGGAAUACCAAUUGCGAAGGCAGGUUACUACUAAUUGAUUGACGCUGAUGGACGAAAGCGUGGGUAGCGAACAGGAUUAGAAACCCUUGUAGUCCC
rnacentral:rRNA from 1 species